UACGAAGGGGGCCAGCGUUGUUCGGAAUCACUGGGCGUAAAGGGCGCGUAGGCGGCCGAUCAAGUCGGGGGUGAAAGCCUGUGGCUCAACCACAGAAUUGCCUUCGAUACUGUUUGGCUUGAGACCGGAAGAGGUUAGUGGAACUGCGAGUGUAGAGGUGAAAUUCGUAGAUAUUCGCAAGAACACCAGUGGCGAAGGCGGCUGACUGGUCCGGUUCUGACGCUGAGGCGCGAAAGCGUGGGGAGCAAACAGG
rnacentral:rRNA from 1 species